AAUUAAGUAACUUAAAUAAAGUAAUGAUUUUUUAAAUCAUUUAUAGUAUAAUUACUCUUAAUUA
rnacentral:tRNA from 1 species